GAAAGAUGAAGUAUAGGAGCUGACGCCUGCCCAGUGCUGGAAGGUUAAGGGGAAGAGUUAAGACUUGAUCUGAAGCUUAGAACCAAAGCCCCAGUGAACGGCGGCCGUAACUAUAACGGUCCUAAGGUAGCGAAAUUCCUUGUCAGGUAAGUUCUGACCCGCACGAAAGGCGUAAUGAUUUGGGCACUGUCUCGACAAUGUACCCGGCGAAAUUGUAGUACUAGUGAAGAUGCUAGUUACCUGCGACAAGACAGAAAGACCCCAUGGAGCUUUACUGUAGUUUGAUAUUGGGUUUUGGUAAUUUAUGUACAGGAUAGGUGGGAGACAGAGAAGGAUGUGCGUCAGCAUAUCUGGAGUCAACGUUGGGAUACCACUCUUAAGUUAUUGAAAUUCUAACUUGUGAUCAUAAACUGGUCAGAGGACAAUGUCAGACGGGCAGUUUGACUGGGGCGGUCGCCUCCAAAAGAGUAACGGAGGCGCCCAAAGGUUCCCUCAGUGCGGACAGAAAUCGCACAAAAGAGUGUAAAGGCAGAAGGGAGCUUAACUGGAAGAUAGACAUAUCGAGCAGAUACGAAAGUAGGGCUUAGUGAUCCGGUGGAAUUGAAUGGAAAAGCCAUCGCUCAACGGACAAAAGUUACCCUGGGGAUAACAGGCUUAUCUCCCCCAAGAGUUCACAUCGACGGGGAGGUUUGGCACCUCGAUGUCGGCUCAUCGCAUCCUGGAGCUGAAGUCGGUUCCAAGGGUUGGGCUGUUCGCCCAUUAAAGCGGUACGCGAGCUGGGUUCAGAACGUCGUGAGACAGUUCGGUCCUUAUCUGUCGCAGGCGGAGGAUAUUUGAAGGGAGCUGUCCUUAGUACGAGAGGACCAGGAUGGACAUACCGAUGGUGUAUCAGUUGUCACACCAGUGGCACGGCUGAGUAGCUAAGUAUGGAAGGGAUAAACGCUGAAAGCAUCUAAGUGUGAAGCCCACCCUAAGAUAAGAUAUCUCAUACCGUAAGGUAGUAAGAUUCCAUAAAGACUAUGUGGUUGAUAGGUUGGAGGUGUAAGUACAGUAAUGUAUUGAGCUGACCAAUACUAAUAAAUCGAGGGCUUAACCAC
rnacentral:rRNA from 1 species